UAUACAACUCAUCAACCCUGUGAACAUACCUAAACGUUGCUUCGGCGGGAACAGACGGCCCCGUAACACGGGCCGCCCCCGCCAGAGGACCCCCUAACUCUGUUUCUAUAAUGUUUCUUCUGAGUAAAACAAGCAAAUAAAUUAAAACUUUCAACAACGGAUCUCUUGGCUCUGGCAUCGAUGAAGAACGCAGCGAAAUGCGAUAAGUAAUGUGAAUUGCAGAAUUCAGUGAAUCAUCGAAUCUUUGAACGCACAUUGCGCCCGCCAGUAUUCUGGCGGGCAUGCCUGUUCGAGCGUCAUUACAACCCUCAGGCCCCCGGGCCUGGCGUUGGGGAUCGGCGGAGCCCCCCGCGGGCACACGCCGUCCCCCAAAUACAGUGGCGGUCCCGCCGCAGCUUCCAUUGCGUAGUAGCUAACACCUCGCAACUGGAGAGCGGCGCGGCCACGCCGUAAAACCCCCAACUUCUGAACGUUGACCUCGAAUCAGGUAGGAAUACCCGCUGAACUUAAGCAUAUCAAUAAGCGGAGGAAAAGAAACCAACAGGGAUUGCCCUAGUAACGGCGAGUGAAGCGGCAACAGCUCAAAUUUGAAAUCUGGCUCUCGGGCCCGAGUUGUAAUUUGUAGAGGAUGCUUUUGGUGAGGUGCCUUCCGAGUUCCCUGGAACGGGACGCCACAGAGGGUGAGAGCCCCGUCUGGUUGGACACCGAUCCUCUGUAAAGCUCCUUCGACGAGUCGAGUAGUUUGGGAAUGCUGCUCUAAAUGGGAGGUAUAUGUCUUCUAAAGCUAAAUACCGGCCAGAGACCGAUAGCGCACAAGUAGAGUGAUCGAAAGAUGAAAAGAACUUUGAAAAGAGAGUUAAAAAGUACGUGAAAUUGUUGAAAGGGAAGCGCUUGUGACCAGACUUGGGCUUGGUUGAUCAUCCAGGGUUCUCCCUGGUGCACUCUUCCGGCCCAGGCCAGCAUCAGUUCGCCCCGGGGGAAAAAGGCUUCGGGAAUGUGGCUCUCUCCGGGGAGUGUUAUAGCCCGUUGCGUAAUACCCUGUGGCGGACUGAGGUCGC
rnacentral:rRNA from 1 species